AACCGGCUAGUCUAAUAGUAAGACUCAAACUUUGAAAGUUUAGAAUAGGGGCUACCCUGCUGGUUU
rnacentral:tRNA from 1 species